rnacentral:rRNA from 1 species
AAAUUGAAGAGUUUGAUCAUGGCUCAGAUUGAACGCUGGCGGCAGGCCUAACACAUGCAAGUCGAACGGUAACAGGAAGCAGCUUGCUGCUUCGCUGACGAGUGGCGGACGGGUGAGUAAUGUCUGGGAAACUGCCUGAUGGAGGGGGAUAACUACUGGAAACGGUAGCUAAUACCGCAUAACGUCUCAAGACCAAAGAGGGGGACCUUCGGGCCUC